GGCCGGGAGUAGGCUAAUACAAUACCGAGCAAUCGGGAAUAUGCCUGCCGCUCGCGUGCGGUUUCUAGCUCCCGGCCUUUUGCAU
rnacentral:ncRNA from 1 species